rnacentral:lncRNA from 10 species
GCAGCUUGUACCUGCAUAAUCAUAGCACAUGUUACAGGAAGCUGCCCUGCCCUCAGCUUGCAUGGAGAGUCGGCUUGACUACACUGUGUGGAACAAGUUUUAAAGAAGCAAAGGACUCAGAAUUCAUGCUUGAAGAAAUGCAGGCAGACCUGUUAUCCUAAACUAGGGUUUUUAAUGACCACAGCAAGCAAGCAUGCACUGUUAAUAGGAAACCCUCUCUGAAGAAAACUGAGACUCUAUAAAGGCCUAGAACCCAGGGUAGAAUAAUUCAGGCUUACGGUUUUUUUUUUUUAGUUAGAGUCUCUCUCUAUUGCCCGUGCUGGCAUGCAGUGGCAUGAUCUCAGC